rnacentral:rRNA from 1 species
GAUUUCUGGUUCGACAUGCCCGACCUAGUGUGGCGACACAUUAAGUGUCGGUGUGUGUCUGCCAUCUUUGCCAGAGAACGGCGCCUCCCUUAAAUGGGCCGGCGUCGCCAUCUGGAUCAUUUACUUUGAAAAAAUUAGAGUGUUUAAAGCAGGCGUUACGCUAUGAAUACAUUAGCAUGGAAUAAUAAUAUAGGACUUUGGUUCUAUUUUGUUGGUUUCUAGGACUGAAGUAAUGAUUGAUAGGGAUAGUUGGGGGUGCUAGUAUUCAGUGGCCAGAGGUGAAAUUCUUGGAUUCACUGAAGACUAACUACUGCGAAAGCAUU